UCACGACGAACGCUGGCGGCNUGCCUAACACAUGCAAGUCAGAACGGAGGAUAUACUCAAAGUUUACUUUGAGUGAUCCUUAGUGGCNGACGGGUGAGUAACNCGUGGGUAACCUACCCAUAAACCCGGGACAACCCUUGGAAACGAGGGCUAAUACCGGAUAAACUAUCAUGAUGGCAUCAUCNAGAUAGGAAAGGUGGCCUCUGAACAUGCUACCGAUUAUGGAUGGACCCGCGUCUGAUUAGCUAGUUGGUGGGGUAAAGGCCUACCAAGGCGACNAUCAGUAGCCGGCCUGAGAGGGUGAACGGCCACACUGGGACUGANACACGGNCCACACUCCUACGGGAGGUAGCAGUGGGGAAUCUUCCGCAAUGGACGAAAGUCUGACGGAACAACGCCGCGUGUAUGAAGAAGGCCUUCGGGUUGUAAAGUAC
rnacentral:rRNA from 1 species